rnacentral:lncRNA from 1 species
CGACCAUGGAAGGGCUGUCUAUAAAAAAAUAAGAUGUUGUAUGAUUGCAAAUGAGACCAAUGUCCAUGGUUACCGGAAUGACACAUACAUUAGUUGCUGUACGGUCUUCAACAAUGAGCAAAGGCCUUACCGUUACCAAGUCAAGGUCGACAUAGACUUCUAUUUGGUGGAAGAAUAAUAAUGUCAGUCCUACCAAGGCAAGCCAAGCAUUCCAC